UGGGGAAUAUUGGACAAUGGGCGGAAGCCUGAUCCAGCCAUGCCGCGUGUGUGAAGAAGGCCUUUUGGUUGUAAAGCACUUUAAGCGAGGAGGAGGCUCUUCUAGUUAAUACCUAGGAUGAGUGGACGUUACUCGCAGAAUAAGCACCGGCUAACUCUGUGCCAGCAGCCGCGGUAAUACAGAGGGUGCGAGCGUUAAUCGGAUUUACUGGGCGUAAAGCGUGCGUAGGCGGCUGAUUAAGUCGGAUGUGAAAUCCCUGAGCUUAACUUGGGAAUUGCAUUCGAUACUGGUUAGCUAGAGUGUGGGAGAGGAUGGUAGAAUUCCAGGUGUAGCGGUGAAAUGCGUAGAGAUCUGGAGGAAUACCGAUGGCGAAGGCAGCCAUCUGGCCUAACACUGACGCUGAGGUACGAAAGCAUGGGGAGCAAACAGG
rnacentral:rRNA from 1 species